CUUCUCUUACCUGCAUCGUCUCCUUUCUUCCUCAUUUCUCUUGCUACCUCUUCUAUGGCUCUGUGUUUUAGGUUUAAGAUUUUGGCCACUGAUAAUUUCAGGGCAGAUCUAUACUUUCGAGACUAAAGGAACGCCUUUGAAUAAAGUCUAGUCUGGACUGUGAUUUCUUUGAUUGAUAAGAGAGAAUAUUUCAGAUCAAUAUUGCUUAAGGUAAAGCCAAAACUAUCUAAGGUGAAGUGCAAAAUUGACAUAAUUUUUCCACAUUUAUUCAAUCUGUGCAGUGAUGAUUGUGGAGUUUAUCUCAUUACAUGGCUUAAAUUUUGAAAUAAUAUAGUGAAUGUUGACCAUCCUCUAUUUACCAUGUGUAAAUACAUAGCCCAAGAACUAUCAGGUAUGAGGUAUGAUAUUUUAUGCUGGCUAGUGGAGCAUCCUAAUAAUGUCAUGGGUGAAUACCCCCAUGCACUUACAGGAGGAAGCAAAGGAAAAGAAAAAUCAUAUAUUUAUGGAAUUAUAUUUUUCUAGUUAGAUAAUGUAUAUAUUUUAAUAUGCU